AUGUUACCCAAUCUUAAGGCUCAUUCUUUCUAUCAAUUAACUCGAGGUAGCAUUUCAAUUUGGAGCAUGCCUUGCUGUGCUCAUUGGGAUUCUAUCCAUGAUCAUCUCAUUCCACAGCAAGCUGGCUUUAGUUAUCCCUCUUUAGUCAGAGAUCUCUGGCUUCUGGGGCAAAAAACUUGGAAUCAGGACUUUGUUUUCUCGCUUUUUCGGCAGCCUAUUGCUUCUCUCAUUGUUAAAACUGAUAUUAUUGAUGAUGAUGGACCGGAUUUGCUUUGUUGGGAUCUUACUCCUAAUGGCACUUGCUCUACAAAGUCUGCUUACAAGCUUAGUUUGCAGCAGAUUUAUACCAAUCCCAGAAAUGUGCCUGCUGCUAUUCCCUUGGAUUUGAAAAAUCUUCUUAAGUUGAUUUGGAAACAAAAAACUAUGCUUCCUAGGGUGCAAACUUUUUCCUGGAGAUUACUUAGAAAGGCUUUACCUACUGGCUUGCGUGCUGGUCGUUUCUCGAUUCACAUUUCUCAGAUAUGUUGUCGAUGUGGUCAGCAGGAGGAUGAGUUUCAUCUUUUCUUCCUUUGUCAUUUUGCUCGUGCGGCCUGGUUUUCCUGUCCUUGGUUUCUCAGAUCUGAAGUUUUACUUCAAGGCCAUUCUACGAUGCAUUCGGUGCUUAUUGCUCUCAUUCAAAUGGACCACCCAAAUGGUUCUAUUCCAAAUAUCCUCAAUUUUCUGUGGUGCCUUUGGAAAGCACGUAAUGAUUUUCUUUUUGAUAGAAAGAAAGCACUUCCUUACCAAGUUAAUAUUGCAGCUAUUGCUUUAAAUUUGGACUUUGAUGGUGUUCGUUCAUGCCUUCGUAAUAAGCAACAACAGGUUCAAGGUGAACAUUCUAUUGGCAAUCAGGUUCCUUUGCAAGGUACUACUCUCAAGCCUGAUUUGUUAAUUGUUGGACCGAAAAUAUUUUCUGAUGCAGCUUUCAGAUCAAAUAAAGUCCCUGGCCUUCCACAAGGAGAGGUUGCCACAGGUGUUGGAAUUUUCAUCUCAAUUCCAUCUGACCAAGGAGAAAUCAAUGUUCAAGUUCAAGCCUCGGCUUCGUCUACUUCUACUCCUUUGCAAGCUGAAGCCAUUGCUCUUACUUCUGCUGCUCAUAUUGCCUCUCAGCUUAAUAUUGCUCAUCCAAUUUUUUUAACUGACUGUCUUUCUCUUGCUAAGUGUGCUGCUCUAAGAAACACCUUGGAUUCCUCUAUUCCUUGGAAUAUUAGAAAGGAUCUGGCCAUCUUCUUUAAACACACUUCUGCUUUGCAUCCUAAGGUGUUUCAUAUUUCAAGAGAAAUUAAUGGGAUUGCUCAUGAUCUUGCGCAGCAGGUUUUUAGAUCUACUGGGAACACUCAAGUUUGUUGUUUUGCUCAAAACCACUCUUCUAUAUCCUGUCAUGUUGUGUCCCUCAUAUCAAAUCUUCAAAUUCCAGGUGUUAAGUUACACACUGUUCACUGCUAUUAG
rnacentral:rRNA from 1 species